UGGGGAAUAUUGGACAAUGGGCGAAAGCCUGAUCCAGCCAUGCCGCGUGUGUGAAGAAGGCCUUUUGGUUGUAAAGCACUUUAAGCGAGGAGGAGGCUACUUGGAUUAAUACUCUAGGAUAGUGGACGUUACUCGCAGAAUAAGCACCGGCUAACUCUGUGCCAGCAGCCGCGGUAAUACAGAGGGUGCGAGCGUUAAUCGGAUUUACUGGGCGUAAAGCGUGCGUAGGCGGCUUUUUAAGUCGGAUGUGAAGUCCCUGAGCUUAACUUAGGAAUUGCAUUCGAUACUGGGAAGCUAGAGUAUGGGAGGGGAUGGUAGAAUUCCAGGUGUAGCGGUGAAGUGAGUAGAGAUCUGGAGGAAUACCGAUGGCGAAGGCAGCCAUCUGGCCUAAUACUGACGCUGAGGUACGAAAGCAUGGGGAGCAAAGAGG
rnacentral:rRNA from 1 species